GUUUUGUCUUCCGGAUGGAAAGUAGUGUCAGUCACCAGUGAUUGACAUGGCACUUAAGAAAUGUAGCCAUUAUUAUCUUUCUUAAUCCUCACAAUGACCCUGGGAGGUAGCAGUCAUCAUCUCAUUUCACUCGUUAGGAGACUGAAGCUCAAGAGGAUCAGUCCAGCUCUCAGGCUCACACAGGUGGUGAGAGAGCUGAAAUUCAUUCUAUUCCACAGUUGGUUUUCUGUGCAUGCUGCUAUCUUAGAUGUAUCCCAGAGAUGCAGGGAGCGUCCUCCUCUAGACUGUUCAUGUCUGUGAUUAUGCCUAUUCAGGUGGAAAAGGAGAUGAAACAAUCUGGGGUGGGUUAGCUGCCUUUUGUCGUGAGCCCAUAAACUCUGGAUAUUGAUCACCUGCAACUAUCCCACAGGUCUGCAUUAAUCUUUUGAAAGGUUGGUCUCCAUAUCUUCUCUCUGAACACCUUCUGGACAGUGACUUAGUAUCCCUGCCACUUAGCACAGUGUUUGGCAUUCAGCAGGUGUUGGAUUGUUACUAGAAAUCAUCAAGAAUAACAUUAGAGGACCCUGUUAAUCCAAGACUGACAACAGAGGACAGAGAUGCUCUCUAAGCAUAAAGCAAGGAAUACUCUGGGAGAAUUUGGAGAAGUAGGUGGAUGACACAAAACCAUUAUGAAUAGAUCAAUUGACAGCCAAGAGAAUCAAGACAGUUUUUAGGAAACCAGGCUUAUCACUAAUAGAAGAGAAAAAAUGCAGGAUGGUAUGAGGCUACUCUGAGCAAUUUUUGGAUCUCUCUUUGUUUCAACCUAGAAGACAUGACUUUGUGGGGUGAAGGAAGAGACAGUUGCCCCUGGGCACUUUGGAAUACCAGAACAUACGAUUAUCAGCACACUUCUGAGGAGAAGGAAAUCAUAACUCAAUCAACAACCAGGGGAAAAUAAAAUCUCACCAUGAUUUGCGCAUGCCCAUUAGGAAAA